UACAGAGGGGGCGAGCGUUGUUCGGAAUUACUGGGCGUAAAGAGCUCGUAGGCGGCUUGUCGCGUCGGCUGUGAAAACUCGGGGCUCAACCCCGAGCCUGCAGUCGAUACGGGCAGGCUAGAGUGUGGUAGGGGAGAUCGGAAUUCCUGGUGUAGCGGUGAAAUGCGCAGAUAUCAGGAGGAACACCGGUGGCGAAGGCGGAUCUCUGGGCCAUUACUGACGCUGAGGAGCGAAAGCGUGGGGAGCGAACAGG
rnacentral:rRNA from 1 species